rnacentral:rRNA from 1 species
CUGACACAGGGAGGUAGUGACAAUAAAUAACAAUGCCGGGCCUUUACAGGUCUGGCAAUUGGAAUGAGAACAAUUUAAAUCCCUUAUCGAGUAUCAAUUGGAGGGCAAGUCUGGUGCCAGCAGCCGCGGUAAUUCCAGCUCCAAUAGCGUAUAUUAAAGUUGUUGCAGUUAAAAAGCUCGUAGUUGGAUUUCUGGCAGGGGUGAGCGGCCACACACUAUGUGUGUGAGCUUGCUUACUCCGCCAUCCUUGAGGAGAUCCUAUUUGGCAUUAAGUUGUCGGGUAGGGGAUACUCAUCGUUUACUGUGAAAAAAUUGAGUGUUUAAAGCAGGCUUAUGCCGUUGAAUAUAUUAGCAUGGAAUAAUAAGAUAGGACUUUGAGUCUAUUUUGUUGGUUUGCGAGUCAAAGUAAUGAUUAAUAGGGACAGUUGGGGGUAUUCGUAUUUCAUUGUCAGAGGUGAAAUUCUUGGAUUUCUGAAAGACGAACUACUGCGAAAGCAUUUACCAAGGAUGUU